UACGUAGGUGGCAAGCGUUAUCCGGAUUUAUUGGGUUUAAAGGGAGCGUAGGCGGGUUGUUAAGUCAGUUGUGAAAGUUUGCGGCUCAACCGUAAAAUUGCAGUUGAUACUGGCAUCCUUGAGUACAGUAGAGGUAGGCGGAAUUCGUGGUGUAGCGGUGAAAUGCAUAGAUAUCACACAGAACACCGAUUGCGAAGGCAGCCUGCUGGACUGUAACUGACGCUGAUGCUCGAAAGUGUGGGUAUCAAACAGG
rnacentral:rRNA from 1 species